rnacentral:lncRNA from 1 species
GCACCAACAACAAUUCUUUAGCCAUCUACCACCAUGGAACGAACAGGGUCUUCAGAAGAGCUGAUCGAUCUUUGGUUUUUGUCGACCAGUCCUUGAAUCGUUUAGGCCAGGGAUAAAAUAUGGACAUGGAAAUGAAUUAUUCUGCGUUUAAUGGCGUAAGUGAACACCAUUGAUAAGUCUCCCAUCUGAUCUCUCUGAUGUUGCCUAUUGUAAGAAACGACUUGUUAUGAUCCCCUUCACGGAAUUAGUUGUUGGUUCGUUGAUUUUGACCCGCCAAUCUGCAGUAAAACAUAGGAUGAUUCGGUGUUUAGUUGGUGUGUAAGCAAAUUUUGUUUGAUCUUGAUUGGUUAACAUAUAGAGUUAGUAUGUCGAGAUCCUCUCUGCAUAUUUCCAUGUUCUCUGUAGGUCUCUGUUUGUCAAUAAAAUGUAAGAAAUGAAUUCAAGGUAUUAGAUCAAUUAACUUAAUGUUCAACAUAUUUUUUUUUUAUUUUCUCCAUCAGUUAAAUGUUAGUUCUUAUGUACACUAUCACCACGGGUUCCUUUUAUCCUUAUUUUCUUUCUAAUCAAUUGUCAUAGCUUUCCAGUUUCAUUUAAAUAAACUUUCUAGCAGUUGUUUUAAAACUGCAAUAUGUUUUGACGUGUUACGCAACUCACUCGGUUAUAAACUUUAUUUAUAGAAAAGGGCUUGAUUUUUUAAUUCAUUUUAGAUCCUGAAAAAGUUGAGUUGUCGGUGAUGCCGGCGCUGGCUAUGGACGUUUGAUACCACAAAGCAGGUGAUGUUGCGAGAAUGUGACUAAAAGGGUAGAUACCAGUGGUGUUCCCAUUCUCUAUGUCACCGAGAACAAAAGGAAAAAAAGAGGAAGUCUAGUGGCUUUAGUAUUAACACGAAAGAGAAGUGUCACGUUGUUACUUCAAGGGGUCAACUCUUUAGUACUACAGGCCCGUCAGCGAUAUUGAAGAAGAUAAAACCUAGUACCGCCAACCAAGCAAGUGUCACGUUGUUACUUCAAAGAGAAGUGUCACGUUGUUACUUCAAAGAGAAGUGUCACGUUGUAAAUCUUUAUAUGUAUGCUUUUUUCUUAAACUUAUGAUUUACACAUGUGUAAACCUUUAUAUCUAUGCUUAUUUUUUUUUAUUAUUGUGAUUUACACAUGUGUAAACCUUCAUAUCUAUGCUUAUUUUUGUACUAUAAUGAUUUAUACAUGUAUAGACCUUCAUAAUUAAAUUUAUUGUUUUAACUAUUA